GACGAGCCUCACAAACGUUAUUCGGAAUUACUGGGCUUAAAGGGUGCGUAGGCGGCGCGGAAAGUUGGGUGUGAAAUCCCUCGGCUCAACCGAGGAAUUGCGCUCAAAACUACCGUGCUAGAGGGAGAUAGAGGAAUGCGGAACUUAGGGUGGAGCGGUGAAAUGCGUUGAUAUCCUAGGGAACACCGGUGGCGAAAGCGGCAUUCUGGAUCUCAUCUGACGCUGAUGCACGAAAGCUAGGGUAGCAAACGGG
rnacentral:rRNA from 1 species